rnacentral:rRNA from 1 species
UACGUAGGGGGCUAGCGUUGUCCGGAUUUAUUGGGCGUAAAGGGCGCGUAGGCGGCCUUCUAAGUCGAACGUGAAAUCCCCGGGCUCAACCCGGGAACUGCGUCCGAUACUGGAAGGCUUGAAUCCGGGAGAGGGAUGUGGAAUUCCAGGUGUAGCGGUGAAAUGCGUAGAUAUCUGGAGGAACACCGGUGGCGAAGGCGACAUCCUGGACCGGUAUUGACGCUGAGGCGCGAAAGCCAGGGGAGCAAACGGG